rnacentral:rRNA from 1 species
GACGAACGCUGGCGGCGUGCCUAAUACAUGCAAGUCGAACGGUCUUUUCUAUGAAAGCUUGCUUUCACUGAGAAGAUAGUGGCGGACGGGUGAGUAACACGUGGGUAACCUGCCCAUAAGAGGGGGAUAACAUCCGGAAACGGGUGCUAAUACCGCAUAGUUUUCUUGGUCACAUGACUGAGAAAGGAAAGACGGCCUUUGUGCUGUCGCUUAUGGAUGGACCCGCGGCGUAUUAGUUAGUUGGUGAGGUAAUGGCUCACCAAGACGAUGAUACGUAGCCGACCUGAGAGGGUGAUCGGCCACAUUGGGACUGAGACACGGCCCAAACUCCUACGGGAGGCAGCAGUAGGGAAUCUUCCGCAAUGGACGAAAGUCUGACGGAGCAACGCCGCGUGAGUGAAGAAGGUUUUCGGAUCGUAAAACUCUGUU